rnacentral:rRNA from 1 species
CAGGCCUAACACAUGCAAGUCGAGCGGUAACAGGGAUAGCUUGCUAUCUGCUGACGAGCGGCGGACGGGUGCGUAACGCGUAGGAAUUUGCCCGAUAGUGGGGGAUAGCCCGGAGAAAUUCGGAUUAAUACCGCAUACCUUCUAAGGAAGAAAGCAGGGGAUCUUCGGACCUUGCGCUAUCGGAUGAGCCUGCGUCGGAUUAGCUAGUUGGUAGGGUAAAUGCCUACCAAGGCGACGAUCCGUAGCUGGUCUGAGAGGAUGAUCAGCCACACUGGGGCUGAGACACGGCCCAGACUCCUACGGGAGGCAGCAGUGGGGAAUAUUGCACAAUGGGCGCAAGCCUGAUGCAGCCAUGCCGCGUGUGUGAAGAAGGCCCUAGGGUUGUAAAGCACUUUCAGCGAGGAGGAAGGGUAUCUUGCUAAUAUCAAGGUACAUUGACGUUACUCGCAGAAGAAGCACCGGCUAACUCCGUGCCAGCAGCCGCGGUAAUACGGAGGGUGCAAGCGUUAAUCGGAAUUACUGGGCGUAAAGCGUGCGUAGGCGGUUAAAUAAGUUGGAUGUGAAAGCCCUGGGCUCAACCUAGGAACUGCACCCAAAACUGUUUAACUAGAGUACGAGAGAGGAGUGUGGAAUUUCCUGUGUAGCGGUGGAAUGCGUAGAUAUAGGAAGGAACACCAGUGGCGAAGGCGGCACUCUGGCUCGAUACUGACGCUGAGGUACGAAAGCAUGGGUAGCAAACAGGAUUAGAUA